CUGUGAUGUGUUUUAUGAAACUGUAUUUCUCUGGCUGUGAUAAUUAGAUUAACCAUUGUGUUCAGUAAUCAUAUCACAGCCAGAGGGGAGGAUUUUGUGUGGGAGUGUCUGGGUGUAUUGUACAGAUUGAUUGAUUGUUUUGUAACGCCCUGUGGGCUGUACUAUGUUUGUGGAUUGGGAAUAAAAGACACUGUAUGUGACAGUACAGGGAGUUCCUGUUUUAACCCUCAAAGUGAAG